UAAAGUUAGUUCAUUAAUGUAAUAAAAAUCAGUCUUGGCCAAACUGGCAUCUCACCUGGCAGUGAAAUACCAGCUCUGUCUCCCUUCAAGCCAGAAGGAAAACCUGAAACCUGCAGGUAGGUAGUCAGUCAAAUAGCCGCCACCUGCUAUCACUGGUCAAGCUCGGCGAAGACUUGCACAUCCUCCAGGCGCCCGGAGCCUAAACAAUGAGAUAUUUGCUGAGCUCCCUUCCCUUCAGCUGUGUCUACUUGGGGCGGAGCUGAUUAAGACAGAGGGAACCACUGAUCCUCCAACUGGGCCUGCGCGAACGUGGCCCCUGACCUGCUCCAAUCGCCUUGCCCACGCUUCCCACGCUCCUGUCUUCAUCCCAUAAAUCCCCCAGCCCCUCACCUUCCGAGAGGCGGCUCGGAGGUUUGCUGUCUUCACUUUGUUGUUAACCUGGGUGUUUUCAUUUGCUUCGUGUCAGGCAAGAUGAACCUGGUUAGCGGCCCCGUCUGCUUGUUACAGGACCUUCCCUGGAUUUCCUCAGGUGCUGAGACCUUCCUCAUCUAGUUUGGUUUUGCAGCAAAGAGAUAGCUUGAGGGGUUUGGAAGACAUCUUUUGGAGGAAGGCCCAUGACUGGUCCCAGGAAUGCCAGAGGAGUGAUGGGGGCAGAUGCUCACUGCCAUGGCGCCCAGAGGAAAGCCCAUCU